rnacentral:rRNA from 1 species
GAUGAACGCUGGCGGAAUGCUUUACACAUGCAAGUCGAACGGCAGCAUAGGUGCUUGCACCUGAUGGCGAGUGGCGAACGGGUGAGUAAUACAUCGGAACGUGCCCAGUCGUGGGGGAUAACGUAGCGAAAGUUACGCUAAUACCGCAUACGAUCUAAGGAUGAAAGCGGGGGACCGUAAGGCCUCGCGCGAUUGGAGCGGCCGAUGUCAGAUUAGGUAGUUGGUGAGGUAAAGGCUCACCAAGCCGACGAUCUGUAGCUGGUCUGAGAGGACGACCAGCCACACUGGGACUGAGACACGGCCCAGACUCCUACGGGAGGCAGCAGUGGGGAAUUUUGGACAAUGGACGCAAGUCUGAUCCAGCCAUUCCGCGUGCAGGAUGGAGGCCUUCGGGUUGUAAACUGCUUUUGUACGGAACGAAAAAGCUCUUAUUAAUACUAGGAGUCCAUGACGGUACCGUAAGAAUAAGCACCGGCUAACUACAUGCCAGCCGCCGCCGUAA